GUGCAACUUUUACAGCAGUAACCUGAAAAUACAAAUUAAAACAGCCCAUGCUUGUAGAUGAUUGUACAAUAAAUUACAACAAAACUGAGUCCAAGGGUGUAUAACCAUGGGUGUAUAACUAUAUAUAUGUGGGAUAGGUUCAUUUAUUUAACCACCUAGUUCAAGGUUAAAAAUUUUUUAUCGCAGUAUCACACAGAUUGUAUGUGCUUUCUCCUGUUUUCUGUAGUUGAUCUACUUUGAUUUAUCAACUGCUUUCAUGCUUAUAGCCCAGGGAGAUUAGAAUCCCAUUUUGCCAGCUGAUGCCCUUUUAUGCAUAUAGAUCCAGGAAAAGAUAGUUUUUAGGUAAUUAAUUAUCAGAACAGCAAACCUUGGUAACAAA
rnacentral:misc_RNA from 1 species